rnacentral:lncRNA from 13 species
GAUCUCACGGUUUUAAAAGUGGCAGUUUCCCCUGCACACUCGCUCGCUCUCCUACGGCCUGUUUCCCCUUCACCUUGCCUCCUGCGGUUUCUCCACCCAUGCAGAACUCGUGAAAGAACGUGAACACUUUUACACAGAGAGUCUUUUGGCCAAAGGCAAGGGGAGGUCGCAAUUUAUAUCAGAGAAUUACAAUUCUGGGGGUAAAUUUGCUAUAGCUUUUGAAGAUCCCUCAGGUUAGUACAAUGAACAUCUGCAAUGUUGCAUAAAAUUUGAAAACACUUUAUCCUAACC